AUUGAACGCUGGCGGCAGGCCUAACACAUGCAAGUCGGACGGUAGCACAGAGGAGCUUGCUCCUCGGGUGACGAGUGGCGGACGGGUGAGCAAUAUUUGGGAAUCUGCCUAUUAGUGGGGGAUAACCCGGGGAAACUCGGGCUAAUACCGCAUACGCACUACGGUGGAAAGCCGGGGACCGCAAGGCCUGGCGCUAAUAGAUGAGCCCAAAUCGGAUUAGCUAGUUGGUGAGGUAACGGCUCACCAAGGCGACGAUCCGUAGCUGGUUUGAGAGAACGACCAGCCACACCGGAACUGAGACACGGUCCGGACUCCUACGGGAGGCAGCAGUGGGGAAUAUUGGACAAUGGGGGCAACCCUGAUCCAGCGACGCCGCGUGGGUGAAGAAGGCCUGCGGGUUGUAAAGCCCUUUCGGUUGGGAAGAACAGUAUUGACCUAACACGUCAGUACCUUGACGUAACCAACAAAAGAAGCACCGGCUAACUCUGUGCCAGCCGCCGCCGUAA
rnacentral:rRNA from 1 species